UACGUAGGCAGCGAGCGUUGUUCGGAGUUACUGGGCGUAAAGGGUGUGUAGGCGGUUAUUUAAGUUUGGUGUGAAAUCUCCCGGCUCAACCGGGAGGGUGCGCCGAAUACUGAAUGACUUGGAGUGCGGGAGAGGUGAGUGGAAUUCCUGGUGUAGCGGUGAAAUGCGUAGAUAUCAGGAGGAACACCGGUGGUGUAGACGGCUCACUGGACCGUAACUGACGCUGAGACACGAAAGCGUGGGGAGCAAACGGG
rnacentral:rRNA from 1 species